CGAGGCGAACCGGGGAAACUGAAACAUCUCAGUACCCCGAGAAAAAGAAAUCAACCGAGAUUCCCCCAGUAGCGGCGAGCGAACGGGGAGCAGCCCAGAGUCAACAUCAAUAUUUACCACAGGAGAAGGGUCUGGAAAGGCCGGCAAUAAAGGGUGAUAGCCCCGUAUCUAAAGCGGUAAGUGUUGUGAACUCGAAGAGUAGGGCGGGACACGUGUUAUCCUGUCUGAAUAUGGGGGGACCAUCCUCCAAGGCUAAAUACUCCUGACUGACCGAUAGUGAACCAGUACCGUGAGGGAAAGGCGAAAAGAACCCCGGCGAGGGGAGUGAAAUAGAACCUAAAACCGUGUACGUACAAGCAGUAGGAGCACCCGAAAGGGUGUGACUGCGUACCUUUUGUAUAAUGAGUCAGCGACUUAUAUUCUGUAGCAAGGUUAACCGCAUAGGAGAGCCGUGGGGAAACCGAGUCUUAACUGGGCGUUAAGUUGCAGGGUAUAGACCCGAAACCCGGUGAUCUAGCCAUAAGCAGGUUGAAG
rnacentral:rRNA from 1 species